rnacentral:misc_RNA from 1 species
AAACGUUCUACAACACAUUCCCCACCUUAUUUAUCCCACCUCAAUUCUGUAUUCGAAAACCAACAAUGUGGCCAUGGGAGUGAAUCAAGGUACUAUAGCUAUAUAUCAGUCACAAUGCCAGGCUAGUAAGCUUCAUUGAUAAUAGCGGGAAGCAAUCCUACUGCUUCCAUCACGGCUGGCCGCCGGGGACUACCCCUCCACCGGGCAUCCCUCCGAAAGCCCCCGGAAGCCCUCCCCCUGCACCGGGGAGCCCUCCUCCAACACCAGGCAUCCCUCCUCCAAAGGCAGGAAAACCUCCUCCUACACCAGGGAACCCUCCGCCUGCACCGGGCAUCCCUCCUCCUACACCGGGCGUCCCUCCUACGGUGGGAACCCCACCACCAAAGCCCGGGAGCCCUGCGCCGGACGACCCAGGAACGGCACUGCCCCCUCCAAGAGCCGG